CUCUAGCACCUGAAGCAUGAAUCACAUGCAGCUGUUCAAUGACCUGCAACAGGAGAAAUGAGACAGCACUCAAUGUAGUUGCAUUAAUUGCACAUGUACAUCAUAGUGUGCAUACUUAUUAGCAUGUGGAACUCACUGUUGCCUGGGAGAAGUAGACCAAAGAUUGAAACUCUUUGCUUUGUGUGCUAUUCUCAUAUUACAAUCCUCAAGACAUGAAUAAAAAAAAUCUUAUAGAAGUGACUGUUGGUGUGAAAAAAGAACGAGGGAAAUUAGUCUUAUUCUUCACAAACUUUCCCUAUCAGAUCUCUGCAUGCUCACAGAGACUUAAAAUAUCUGUCCUGACCAUCCAGUAGCACAACCAGCUCCUACCUUACGGUACUGUGACAGCUUGCUUGUCCCAAACUCAUACCAGAGGGUACAAUGAUGAGGGAACAAUGUUUUUAUGAGUGCACCUAUUCUCAUUUUGGAUAUGAAGACAGAUCUCUAUAUGACAUCAUACUGGAUCCACAUUUAUGUGACAGAUUGGUCUCAUGAUGCAGAACUUCAAAGGGAAAGGGGUAGGAGGUUCAAAAUGCAUGCAUACAAGUGGCAGCACCACUCAGCCUACUGAAUCCUGAGAGAGCACCACAUAGCCUUGAAACUUUGCAGGGAGCUGCAGUACAUCCCCAGCUGUGCCCACAUUGCUAUGAUAAAGUAGUUGCUGCUGGCCAGAAGACAACUUUCUACUGACUUGCCCAUCAGGCAUCACCUCUCUUGCUGAGCUCACUGGGAGUCAUGAUGCAGAAGGUGUCACCAGAAGCAAGGAUGGCGCCAACCAGCUGAUAGUUUGAUCUGCAUUUUCCAGCAAGGAAACGUUGCCUAAAUCAGUAGGUGAUUGCAGAAACUCAGCAGUAGUGGCAGCACUUGCUGAGAUCAUCAGGGCUCUCUGAAUGGAGCUGUUUUCUACAAAAAGUAAGAGCAUAGUUAUCUCCACAAUAAAAAAACUGGCAUAGUGACAUACCACCUCAUUU
rnacentral:lncRNA from 1 species